rnacentral:rRNA from 1 species
UGGUGGGUUGCCUUGUCAGGUUGAUUCCGGUAACGAACGAGACCUCAGCCUGCUAAAUAGUUACUCCUACUUUGGUAGGAGGCGAACUUCUUAGAGGGACUAUUGGCGUUUUAGCUAAUGGAAGUGUGAGGCAAUAACA